rnacentral:rRNA from 1 species
AGAGUGAACGCUGGCGGUAGGCCUAACACAUGCAAGUCGAACGGCAGCACGGUAAGAGCUUGCUCUUAUGGGUGGCGAGUGGCGGACGGGUGAGGAAUACAUCGGAAUCUACCUUUUGGUGGGGGAUAACGUAGGGAAACUUACGCUAAUACCGCAUACGCCCUUCGGGGGAAAGCCGGGGACCAGCAAUGGCCUGGCGCUGAUAGAUGAGCCGAUGUCGGAUUAGCUAGUUGGUGAGGUAAUGGCUCACCAAGGCGACGAUCCGUAGCUGGUCUGAGAGGAUGAUCAGCCACACUAGGAACUG